GAGGCUUUGGGGGCUCAGGCGCAGCUGAGAGGUUGGAGAACACAGCAUUGCAGCAUCUCCGCCAUGGCCUGGGCCCCUCUGCUCCUCACCCUCCUCAGUCUCCUCACAGGCCACGGGUCCCUCUCCCAGCCUGUGCUGACUCAGCCAGCCUCCACAUCGGCCUCCCUGGGAGCCUCGGUCACACUCACCUGCACCCUGAGCAGCGGCUACAGUAAUUAUGCGGUGGACUGGUACCAACAGAGACCAGAGAAGGGUCCCCGGUUUGUGAUGCGAGUGGGCACUGGUGGGAUUGUAGGAUCCAAGGGGGAUGGAAUCCCUGAUCGCUUCUCAGUCUCAGGCUCCAGACUGAAUCGGUACCUGACCAUCAAGAACAUUCAGGAAGAGGAUGAGAGUGAUUACCACUGUGGGUCAGACCAUGGCAGUGGGAGCAGCUUCGUGUAACCCACAGUGACACA